rnacentral:rRNA from 1 species
CCCAAAAUCUAGCUCUUUAGCUUAUUUAAUAAAACCGCCUCUUCCUCACCCAAUAAAACAUUUUUACAUUUUAGUACAGGAGAUCGAAAAAUUCCUAGACGCUUCAGAUGAAGUACCGCAAGGGAACGAUGAAAUAACAAUGAAAUAAAAUUAAGCCUAAAACAGCAGAGAUGCCCCCUCGUACCUUUUGUAUCAUGGUCUAGCUAGUCUAACCAAGCAAAAAGCAACUUUUAGUUUGACAUCCCGAAACUAAGCGAGCUACUUAAAAACAGCCCCGAAGGGCCAACCCGUCUCUGUUGCAAAAGAGUGGGAAGAUUCUUAAGUAGAGGUCACAUGCCUACCGAGCCUAGAGAUAGCUGGUUGCUCAGAAAAAGAGUCUUAGCUCUACCUUAAGUUUCUUUAUUCCUAAAAACAUACCCCUAAACUUAAGAGCUAUUCAAAUAAGGCACAGCUUAUUUGAACCAGGACACAACCUCCAACACCGGGUAAAUACAGGCCUCAAAAGUAAAGUGGGCCUAGAAGCAGCCACCUCAAAAAAAGCGUUAAAGCUUAAUUUUACAAGCCUUCAAUUCCCACAACCCUCAUCAACCCCUCACCAUUACUGAGCCGCUUUAUAACUUUAUAAAAGCGAUGAUGCUAGAACUAGUAACAAGAAACUGCUUUUCUCCAAAAUGUAAGUGUACACCAAAACGGACAAUACAUUGGCCAUUAACGUCCAUACCACAACUUUAAUAACCACCUCAACUAGAAAAACUUACAAAACUAAACGUUGACCUUACACCAGAACAUUACAGGAAAGAUUAAAAGGACGAGAAGGAACUCGGCAAACCUUAGCCCCGCCUGUUUACCAAAAACAUCGCCUCUUGACUAUCAUAAGAGGUCCAGCCUGCCCAGUGACAAAGUUUAACGGCCGCGGUACUCUGACCGUGCAAAGGUAGCAUAAUCACUUGUUCUUUAAAUGGGGACUCGUAUCAACGGCAUCACGAGGGCUAUACUGUCUCCUCCUCCUAAUCAGUGAAACUGAUCCCCCCGUGAAGAAGCGGGGAUUUUAAUAUAAGACGAGAAGACCCCAUGGAGCUUUAAGCUCCAUACUUAAUCCGCGCUUAUACACCAACUAAGCCACAAACAUUUAAGUAUAAGCUUUAGGUUGGGGGGACCGCGGAGAAUAACUCAUCCUCCACGACUGACAGGCAACGCCUUUAUCCACGAGCAACACCUCUAAGAAUCAAAUAAAUUGAUGUACAAUGACCCGACAAUUCGACUAACGAACCAAGUUACCCUGGGGAUAACAGCGCAAUCUACUUCAAGAGUCCUUAUCGACAAGUGGGUUUACGACCUCGAUGUUGGAUCAGGUUUCCCCAGUGGUGCAGCCGCUAC